GCCCUUAGAGUUUGAUCAUGGCUCAGAAUAAACGCUGGCGGCGUGCUUAACACAUGCAAGUCGUACGAGAAAGCUCUGCUUCGGCGGGGCAAGUAAAGUGGCGCACGGGUGAGUAACGCGUAGGCAAUCUACCUUCGGGACUGGGAUAACAGCGCGAAAGUGCUGCUAAUACCGGAUACGAUCUUUGGCCGCAGGGCUGAAGAUGAAAGCCGGCCACUCAGUGAAGCUGGUGCUCGAAGAUGAGCCUGCGUCCUAUCAGCUUGUUGGUGGGGUAACGGCCCACCAAGGCGACGACGGGUAGCUGGUCUGAGAGGAUGAUCAGCCACACUGGCACUGGAACACGGGCCAGACUCCUACGGGAGGCAGCAGUGAGGAAUUCUGCGCAAUGGGAGCAAUCCUGACGCAGCAACGCCGCGUGAGUGAUGAAGGCCUUCGGGUCGUAAAGCUCUGUCAGGUGGGAAGAAUGUUUCGCAUGUGAACAAUGUGCGGGAGUGACGGUACCACCAGAGGAAGCACCGGCUAACUCCGUGCCAGCAGCCGCGGUAAUACGGAGGGUGCGAGCGUUAUUCGGAAUUACUGGGCGUAAAGGGCGUGCAGGCGGCCUGGAAAGUCUGAUGUGAAAGCCCUGGGCUUAACCCGGGAAGUGCAUUGGAAACUGUUGGGCUUGAGUUCUGGAGAGGAAGGGGGAAUUCCCGGUGUAGAGGUGAAAUUC
rnacentral:rRNA from 1 species